rnacentral:rRNA from 1 species
AUUGAACGCUGGCGGCAGGCCUAACACAUGCAAGUCGAGCGGAUGAGUGGAGCUUGCUCCAUGAUUCAGCGGCGGACGGGUGAGUAAUGCCUAGGAAUCUGCCUGGUAGUGGGGGACAACGUUUCGAAAGGAACGCUAAUACCGCAUACGUCCUACGGGAGAAAGUGGGGGAUCUUCGGACCUCACGCUAUCAGAUGAGCCUAGGUCGGAUUAGCUAGUUGGUGAGGUAAAGGCUCACCAAGGCGACGAUCCGUAACUGGUCUGAGAGGAUGGUCAGUCACACUGGAACUGGGACACGGUCCAGACUCCUACGGGAGGCAGCAGUGGGGAAUAUUGGACAAUGGGCGAAAGCCCGAUCCAGCCAUGCCGCGUGUGUGAAGAAGGUCUUCGGAUUGUAAAGCACUUUAAGUUGGGAGGAAGGGCAGUAAGUUAAUACCUUGCUGUUUUGACGUUACCAACAGAAUAAGCACCGGCUAACUUCGUGCCAGCCGCCGCCGUAAAAC